rnacentral:rRNA from 1 species
GAGGCGAACCGGGGGAACUGAAACAUCUAAGUACCCCGAGGAAAAGAAAUCAACCGAGAUUCCCCCAGUAGCGGCGAGCGAACGGGGAGGAGCCCAGAGCCUGAAUCAGCAUGUGUGUUAGUGAAAGCGUCUGGAAAGGCGCGCGAUACAGGGUGACAGCCCCGUACACAAAAGCGCAUGUGCUGUGAGCUCGAUGAGUAGGGCGGGACACGUGGUAUCCUGUCUGAAUAUGGGGGGACCAUCCUCCAAGGCUAAAUACUCCUGACUGACCGAUAGUGAACCAGUACCGUGAGGGAAAGGCGAAAAGAACCCCGGCGAGGGGAGUGAAAAAGAACCUGAAACCGUGUACGUACAAGCAGUGGGAGCCCCACCACCAAAGCAUUCUCUGGUGUUGAAGGCCCUGCAAAGCAGCAUCGCGGUGGCGGAGCGUCGUUUGCGACGCCCAACACACAAAACAAGCGGUGAAUGCUUUGGGGUGGGGUGACUGCGUACCUUUUGUAUAAUGGGUCAGCGACUUAUAUUCUGUAGCAAGGUUAACCGAAUAGGGGAGCCGGAGGGAAACCGAGUCUUAA